AACCAGGAACAUUGGCUGUCAAGAGGAAAGCAAACAGUGACUUUAUUACAUUUUGGGUGUCCUACAUUCCGGCUCAGCCCAGCUAAAUGUUUCACCAGACCCAUUCCUGUUUGUUCAGACUUUGUCAUUGAACCUUGGACUAUAUGUCAGCAGCUGAGAGCAGAGGAAGGACAAGGAAAAGCUUACAGGAAAUGCAUGCACUUAAAUAUUCAGGCUGCCAUAUGUCUGCUUAUGGGAGAAUUUAUUGAAGAUGGGAUUUUCCCCAUGAUUCUGACCUAUUGGAAAAGGCAAGAUUUAAGAGAUGCUGUGAAGAUUCCCCUGCCCCAUCCCACCUGUGUGAACUAA
rnacentral:lncRNA from 1 species